rnacentral:lncRNA from 1 species
GAGGGGCCCUGGGUUCUGUAGUGGGGCCCUGGGUUAUGUAGAGGGAUCCUGGGUUAAGAGCUGGCUUAUUAUCAGUGUCGUAUAUUAGAUUCCAGAGUAUAAUUCUGGAUUGAUAAAUAAGGUCUCCAUAGUUAAGAAACUUAGAAAAAACACUGAUUAAUCCAGUUGCUUUACCUUGUAAGGGAGAACAUGGAUGCAGAGAAGCUCAAUGGCUUCCUGAGUCAUGGGUUUGGUGUCUGGACAGGAUCCUUUGUGGUUUCAGGUGACAGAGGUGACUUCAGCUCCCAAUGUGGUCAGGCUCCACUUGGUGCCAGGGACGAGGGUGGAAGGCGCCUGUCUCAGAGGCUCAGACCCAGAGCUGAGACUUCCCCAAGCACAGGGCUUGCAAAUAUUGGACUCCCAGGAAGCCCCAGGAGUGGGCAGAGCUCUUCGGAGGUGUGGACAAAGGAGGCCUUGGAGAGAACAGGGUUCAGUGGCCGACGGGUGGAGAAGUCAGAGCUGGCUGCACCGUGGAGCCCGCGCAUCAACCUUGCUGAGGACCCCAGUGCGGAAAGUCCUGGGUUCACUUCCUUCCAGAUCUGCUGAGCACCCACUCACGGCGGGAGAGCUGGGUUGUCCUGGAAUUCUGGAGAGGCUCCUGCUCGGAAGGAGUUCGAGGUCUUCCUGUCCGGUCUGA